AGGACGAACGCUGGCGGCGUAGCUUAAAACAUGCAAGUCGAACGGACUUCUCAUGAAGCUUGCGAUUGAGAAGUUAGUGGCGGACGGGUGAGUAACGCGUGGGCAACCUGCCCCUGAGCCCGGGAUAACAGUUCGAAAGGACUGCUAAGACCGGAUAUACUUGCGGGGAAGCAUUUCUCUGUAAGGAAAGGGAACGCUCAGGGAUGGGCCCGCGUCCCAUUAGCUAGUUGGUGAGGUAACGGCCCACCAAGGCGACGAUGGGUAGCCGGCCUGAGAGGGUGAACGGCCACACUGGGACUGAGACACGGCCCAGACUCCUACGGGAGGCAGCAGUUGGGAAUCUUCGGCAAUGGGCGCAAGCCUGACCGAGCAACGCCGCGUGAGUGAUGAAGGUUUUCGGAUUGUAAAGCUCUGUCUUCCGGGACGAUAAUGACGGUACCGGAGGAGGAAGCCACGGCUAACUACGUG
rnacentral:rRNA from 1 species